rnacentral:rRNA from 1 species
ACGGAAGGCAGCAGUGGGGAAUAUUGCACAAUGGGGGAAACCCUGAUGCAGCGACGCCGCGUGAGUGAAGAAGUAUUUCGGUAUGUAAAGCUCUAUCAGCAGGGAAGAAAAUGACGGUACCUGACUAAGAAGCCCCGGCUAACUACGUGCCAGCAGCCGCGGUAAUACGUAGGGGGCAAGCGUUAUCCGGAAUUAUUGGGCGUAAAGAGUGCGUAGGUGGUUACCUAAGCAGGGGGUGAAAGGCAUUGGCUUAACCAAUGUUAGCCCCCUGAACUGGGCUACUUGAGUGCAGGAGGGGAAAGCGGAAUUCCUAGUGUAGCGGUGAAAUGCGUAGAUAUUAGGAGGAACACCGGUGGCGAAGGCGGCUUUCUGGACUGUAACUGACACUGAGGCACGAAAGUGUGGGGAGCAAACAGGAUUAGAUACCCUGGUA